CCCUUAGAUGUUCUGGGCGGCCCGCGCACUACAAUGGCGCUUUCAGCGAGUUCCUAUGUUGAAUUUUCCUUGGUAUUCUUGGAAGCGGCGUCUUGACUUGGGAUAGAUCCUUGUAAUUGUUGGUUUUGAACGAGGAAUUCCUUGUAAUCGCGGUUGAUCAGCUCGCGUUGAAUACGUCCCUGCCCUUUGUACACACCGCCCGUCGCUCCUACCGAUGAAUCGUCCGGUGAAGUUCACAGAGUGGCGGUUCGUGGAGUUGCUCGCGAAGUGAAAUGGACCUCACGAUUUAGAGGAAGGAGAAGUCGUAGCA
rnacentral:rRNA from 1 species